AUGUUCAUUCAUUUGUGAAGUUACUAUUGCUGGACAUUGGCGGAGGAAGGGAUGAAAAUCUCUAUGGCCUACUGAUUGAUAGAGUUGGGUAAAAAAACCCAUUGUCAUAGAUUUAAGCUGAUCAGGCUCUCUAUGCCAGUUCUGGUCUGCAUCUUUAAGUAAGCAAAUUUUGUUUCGCUGUCUCCUUUGCACUGUACAAGCAUGAAAAAAUUUUGAAUUCUUGUCUCCCCAUGCUAACCAGUUGAGCCUUGAACGCAGCGCCCAAAAUUGUUCCUCCUGAUGCCACAGUUGCUGAAUUUCAUGUCUAAUAGAAGUGGCUAACUCUUUAUCUCCCCUUCGAUAGGAUGUUUCAUUUGUAAUAUUCUGAAGUUGUUGCUUGAGUUGCAUAAUACGUUGCCCGGCAUUACUGAAGCGAGAUCGACUCCAGGUAGUGAGCUUAUGAGAUACUGCCUGUAAUUUAGAGGGCAGAUAAUGAGUGUGCAAGACAAGUGGGCAGUGAUCAGAACCGAUCGAUGGUAAGGCGAAGACCAUGGAAGAUGGAUAAGUAAAAUUCCAAUCCGAAGAGCAAAAAGCAUGAUCCAGCUUCUCCUUCACUAGCUCAUCCCCAUCUCGAUUGUUUGACCAGGGAUAUUGGAAGUCAUUGAAGUCUCCAAUACAUAUCCAGGGUAAGUUUGUGGAGGCAUGAAUUAUCCGGAUCAUAUUCCAAAAAUCCUGCCUAGGAUGGAAAGAAGCUGGGGCAUGGAGACAGGUCAUUCCAAAAAACUGCAAGACCUCCAGAAAAGCCAACAGGAUUCCUCAAAAAGGAGUGAGAGAAAGGAAAACGCCGCUGUAAGUUCUGUACCACUGAAGCUGUAUUUUUCGUUUCCAUUAAAAACACAAUAUCGGGCCUUUCAAAGGCUACCAAAGCCCUUAAUGCUUGGAUUGUCAGGGGAGUGCCCAACCCCGACAAUUCCAACUU